rnacentral:lncRNA from 1 species
AGAGAAUCGUUUAAAUUUUUAAAGUUUGAUUUACAUAUUAAAAUUAAAUAAAUUAAAAAUUUUAAAUGUGUCAGUUAAUAAGUUGAAGAAUUGUUGAAAAAUAUAAAAAUAUUAUAUAUAACUACUUAUUUAUUUAUGAAUAGUAAAUUUAAAUGAUUAAUAAACUUAUAUAAUUAUUUUAUGUAUAGUGAAGAUAAUCUCACCACUCUAUCUGAAGAGGUGACAAAAUUCACAAAUGCAAUUAUCAGCUUCAUAUUACCAAACGGAAGAAAUGUAACUGCAGGAGUUGCAACUGUAUAAAACCAAACAGACUAGGUGUAGCUACAACUGCAGUAUUUGCAACUGCAUGUAUUUCCAACUACACUGUUUCUGCAACUACAUCCAACCAAACGACCCCUAAAAUUUAGAAAUAUUGGGUAGCUCAUUUUUAGGUUUGUUUUGUAUAUUUUUAUUUAUUUAUUUUUUUGUAAAAAUGUAUAAAAUUUAUCUGAUCA